UAAAAAGAAAAGAAAGAAAGAAAGAAAGAAAGAAAAACGAAAUGCCGAAACCCAUGCCGAAAGUUCGAACUCUUCCAGUGGUUUGGUGAUUUUAAUUAUUUGUUUUAUUUAAUGCUUUCACCUUUUUUAUUCUUUUA
rnacentral:ribozyme from 1 species